ensembl:snRNA U6 U6 spliceosomal RNA
GUGCUCGCUUCAGCAACACAUAUACUAAAAAAUUAGAACGACACAGAGAAGAUUAGCAUGGCCCCUGUGCAAGAAUGACACCCAAAUGGCCACAAGAGCCAGGGCUAGGU